rnacentral:tRNA from 1 species
GGGGUUGUGGCUCAGUGGUAGAGUGCCCUCCUCCCAUGUGUGAGGCGCUUGGUUCAAUCCUCAGUACCA